CCUGAAGACCAAUUAGCCAAUUAGCUUUGAUCUUAUCAAAGGCACGCAUAUUUGCAUUCAAACUGGAACUUAAGCACCCCAUCAGCAAAUUUAACUACGCCGCUGGUGGGUGGUCUCGCCUUAAUCCACUGAAAUAAAAUGUACUGUUAUCGAAAGUUGCUUCCCUCCUGCAGUUUCUCCUGACCUACAGCAACCGGCAGAUUUGCCUUAAUAUGAUUUAACAAGAACACACCAGGAUUCAUCUGGAUGUGUUUAUCCUAUGUACAGAUGAGUUCUUAGGAGAUAUUUCUUCUAAAGCCUCAAUUUCAUUGUUCUAAAUCAGGCCGCAUUACAGACAAAUGGAUGAAAUUGCAGGAAUAGUAAAAAUCUAUUUACUGAGUCAAUGUUUAUGUUAAAUACUAUUAAAUCAAAAUCAGACAGAAAUUAAAGACUCAAUAUUUGGGGUGUGCUGAUUACAUUUGCAGUUAUUUGAAUCUGCAAGUUUUGGUUGCGAGGCUUAUCUGAAAGCAAUUAACAAUGAACAUAGUAGUUGCGUUUAUUUUGAUCAAUAUUGUUGUUAUUGCAUGAUGGCUACAUCAUAUGAAUAUUAAAAUAUAAUUAUAAAUAAAAUAUAAUAAUUCUCCAAAAACUCAAAGGAAAGCCUUUUAAUAAUGCUGUAGUUGGGGGAGAUGACAUAAUUAGACAUUAAUCUUUAUUUUCUAACUACGCAGCUAACGCUAAUUUCCAAGAUGGCGGCCAUCCAGUCAAGCUUCUUCGCUGAAGGACGAUCGGCAAACGCCGGGUACGACUUCAGGGCAGGCAGAGGUUGAAGGCUUCCCACAUUAGGAACGCUCCAGAACCCGAAAAGCGUUAACUAAGACCAUCGUCAACGAAGUCAGAACCACCAGGAAGAACCGAAAACAGCUAAUUUAAUGCGAUAAUUCGCAUUAGCACAGCACCAUGACUCCGCAGCUACGAGAUUUCCAUCACCGGACAGGUGCCUUGAUAGAGAGCCAGAGGGUCAAGUUGAUUUACCAACUGUUUUUGCUGGAGAAUGCCCGAAAAACGCUGGAAAGAGAACUUAUUAACUUCACCAAAAAGGCAUAUGAGGACGUUCAGAAUUUCUUCAGUUCAUCUGUUCCCGCUGUUUCAUUCAGUGAUCUUGUGAAGACUUUGGAUGCAAACCUGCAAGCUGUUGAGGUGCUUUCUGCCUUUGCAAAAGAAUUCUCAGUGGGGGCAUCCACUUUUAAAUGUUUUAAAAAGAAGUCACGACUGAACGCGGUUGAACCGUUUGGGUGGAAAAGGAUGGCACCUGUUUUCGGUGAUGGCCCCGCAUUGUGGGACUUGCUCAUAGGCCGCUCUGGAUCUAAAGCGGUGCGGGUAUUUGGAGCGACAAAGCUUUUACAAGAGCCGAAACUAUUCCUCAUCCCACCACGUGUUUUCAUUCAGCAGGAUGAUAGAAUAUGCAGCAGGUGUGCUGUUAUCACUGUGAACUCGUCCUCUUGCAUAAAAGAGGAAGAACAGGAACAAGCUGUUGCUGUAGAAGAGAAACACACACUGGGCGACGUGACCUUUUCACCUGAUGGUGUUCAGAGUCCCUCGGCUGGUCCAGGGAGACCACGUCUCCUGCUGCCUUUUACGCCGACAAUUUUCCCACAAGCCAACAUUCCCGCUUCAGAGAAAAUAACCCAGCUUAGCGACUGUAGAAACAUGGAAGAUGGUCAGAUGCUACACCAGAAACAAACAUCACCUCAGCUGCUUUGCUUUCUCAAAGCUAAAGCUAAAGAUUUAGGCACAUUACCGGCAAGGGUGUGGUUCGAAGAACACGCCAACGUGUCUAGUCCACCCCAGCUGGUUUCCACCUCCGACGAAAUCCAGGCCCGCCAACCGAAACAUGUCUCAGAUGAUGCGAUUGACACAGAAGUGCCAAAGCAAGAUGUCGAGAACCAAACCCGGGUCUUUAAAGUCAAGCAUGAAGAAUCCAGCGGCUCUCUGACUUAUGCGUACGUAACGGCAACAACAACAGAAUUAUGGGAUUUGGGAGACAUCUUUACGGAAGCUUCGCAGGAGCUUUCAGACGUCAGACGCGUGGAAGAUGAAGCAUGUGGAAAUGUCGAGCAUGAGGAUAUGAGCUCCUGUGUGAAUCCAGCAGAGCCCGUGCGCGAGAGCGCUCGUGGUCCCCCAAUGCCCACAGUCAAUGGAAUCGCCAUCCCCGAGUUCCACAUCCACAGGUUCGGAGAAAGCGAAGUUGUUGUGUCUCACAUCAUUUCCCCAGGCAACUUCUUCAUCCAGCAGGCUGACUCCAUCACCAAGCUGCAGGCCCUGAUCACACACAGCUGGGCAGCACAUUAUUCAUAUGCUGAGCAGAGCAGAAUUCCAGACAUUGGAACCAAAGUCAUGGGUUGGUUUCCAAAGCAGCAGCAGUGGUCCAGGGCUCAAGUAAUGAAGAUCUGUGGAAUCACUGAAGAUACGGAUCCCAUGAAUCGUGGAAAGUCUAUCAAAGUGGAGGUGAAGCGGUUGGACCAUGGUGACGCCGCCUGUCUGUCUCUGCAGAACAUCACUGACAUGUCCCCAGAAAUGGCAGCCCUCCCACUGCAGGCUUUACAGGUCUCUUUGGCACACGUGAUGCCGGUGAAUGGGAUCAGUUGGUCCGAGGAGGCGGUUGAGUGGUUCCACACGAUGGUGCGCAACAGGACGCUCUAUGCUAGACUGUAUCCACGGGGAUGUGACGUUACUGUGGAGCUGUUCUUUGAAAGGGGAAAGAUUGGAGCUAUGAGGCGGGGUGCGUCGCUGUCUCUGAGACUGUCCCAGAAUGGACAUGCAAAAUAUAGGAACGGCGGCUCUGUGAAGAGAAGCAUUGUUGAGAGGAAAAAACAGGACGCUGACUGGGCGAAGCACCUCAUCCAGCGCUAUACUCGGAACAAGAAGUAACGCUGUUCCUGAUUUGAAAUGACAGAUGAAUCAUCCAGAGUUCACCGAGUGGACACAGCGGACAAGUUGCACUCGGAGAAACCGCUGCAGUGAGACGUCAACAAGCACAUUUAAAUAAGAUCAAUCCUCUCUUGUAUUUAAACAAGACAUACGCUGAACGGUGGUAGUUAAGUCAUUGUUCUUGUGUAGAAUGUAGGUCUGUUCAGUCGUGUAACAGGUCACACAGCAGUGGUGGAGAGGGCUACACACAUGGGCUUCCCCAUACACACACAGUAAGACCUGCAAACACAGAAAUGACAAAAGGCUGCGGGUAAAUUUGUUUCUUAAAUCCAGUUAAUCCGCCAUUAAGCGCAACGCUUCACUCUUACAGCGCGGUGUGUAUCAGCCCACCAACGUUACUCACAACAGGGAAGAGUGUAGAUUAGGUGGUGCUGCAUGCCCCUCUGAGGUUCCUGCAGACAGACAUAGCCUUUGUUAUCUGCUCCCUGCAGUGUGUUUCUGCUUUGUGUUUGCAGCACUUGUGUUGGGGUUUCUUGCCCGCUGACCGUCACCUCUAAACAGUAUUGGCAGCAUUCUCUGUCCCUUUUCAAGAAUUCAUUUGAGUUUCUCUUUCAAGAUGUUAAAAUGAUCUGGCUGGUUUGAAGCAGCAAGUUGGCUAAUGAGAUUUGUUUUAGUCCGCCGUGGUGUGGAAGAGGCGUGUUUUGGCCUUUUCUUUGUCUGCCAUUUUUUGACAAUUUGUUUUAGUUUACAUUUGGGUUCAAAUUUGUGGGUUGUGGUUGCCACCAGAUGGCGCAAUUCAGUACUAUUUCCUGUCUUUAAAGAGGGAUUUGCCACCAUGCUGGACCGUGUGGGUCCAGUUUGUUUACUCUGAACUUUUCUAGAUGAUACAAUUGUGAUAAAGGAUGCUUUCAAUAUUUGAACCUUGUCCCAAGGGGGGGGGGGUAUAACCACUACAUUAAACAAUGAACAAGGAGGAAAGUCUCUUUAUUUUUCUCAACAGUGCCUGUUUGCCAUAAGUUCAUUUCCUUUUAUAAGCAUUAAACCAUGAUCAUAGAAGGUUUUGUCACGUGUCCUCCCCUGUUUUAGAACAGUGGCCCGUUCUACCUCAUGGUUUUCAUAUCUUACUUGCAAUGUUGGAAAAACCAGCUCGUGUAAUCUGGUACGAACGCUUGAAUGCUUCUGGGUUACAAAGGACUCUAUCUGAGAGUUCAUUCAAAGAAUUAGCAGACCACCCAAACCCUCCCACCACCUCUGCUCUGACGCAGAGACGCUCCUGACGGGGACAAAUCAGCGGCACUGAACAAAUGAACAUAUUGUGUUUGAUCUUAUUCUCAGUUGUUAGAGGACGGGGUUUGACCGGGGGCGGGGGGCAUAAACUAUAAAUAAAACUGCAUCUGAUGAGAAACAUUGACUUCUUCCCAAUUUCUCUGCGAAAUAUUUUGGACGACAGAAAUCCGUCAGCGAAUCCGGCUGCAGUUGGUUUGAAAGUUCAGCCGAGAGGUUCAAGUGCAGAGGAAUCUGCAGCCGCUCAGGCACUUGUCUCUCAGUGGCUCAGGUCAAAAGCUUCCUUCGCUUGCAGCCCUGCACAAUAAAUAAUGUGCCAGGCAGAGGCCUUUUGUGUCCACACAGAUUCCUCCUUUUGCUCGGGGUGGGUGGCAAUCGAGGCAUUUGAUCUGAAUUCUAAAGAGUCUUGUUGGGGCCCAAUAAAGCCCGCCAUUGUAUGUAAAUAGUUUAUAUAAGAGCAUAUGACCGCUCCGGUGCAGGGCAGCGGCUAGUGGUGGAGGAAUGAUUAGCAUUUUCCGAGCGCAUGGUGUGCCCGAUCCGACCUUUUGGCUCGCUAAGAAACAUAUUUUAUUCCAUUUCUUCCUGCUUUGUACACAUUUGUGUGUACCACCACAGCUGAAGGUAAAACGCUCUUUGUCUCCUAACUCUCAGUCUAAUGAGGUCAGACUAUUAAAAAUUCACCGCUGCACCAUGAACAAAAUAUUAUUGAUGAAUUAUUACAGUACUUUAUAAUCAUUAGUAUAUGGAUCAUUUGAUUUAUCUCUGCGCUGCAUGUGGGACUGAAGCCUUUGUUCUUUUCUGUAGCUGUAUUUCGGUUUGCGACUCCCGUAUUAAUACGUCCCCAGCUGGUCACGUGAUGACGCAAAUGUUUCGCACUUUGGUUUUGUCCAAUUGCGUGUUGUGACGGUGUUUGGUGGCAGGCCAUCACCCCCGGUUUAAUAGGGCCAAUGGGCUGCCUGGCAUUUCUUUUCUGUUCCUUAUUCUGCCAAAUCUAACUCGAUGCUCAGGUUUUGCCCCAAGAUGGUCAUCUUUGGACCCGGUGCUGCUUACGCCGCUUGCACUGCUGGCUGAGCCCGGUAAACCUCUACCAACGACAACUUUUCCUGAUUAUGAAGCUAGAGAUACUUAAUUGCUACAUUUGUUUGAUAGAAAGACCUAAAUCGUGACUAGCCUGAGCCCUUUCCUUCGUUAAUGUCGGCUUUACUGACUGUGACCGUUUUGCAGACCUGGAGUCUAAAAUGAACUGGGGAACCUUUUACGCCCUGAUCAGCGGCGUAAACAGGCACUCGACCGGCAUCGGGAGGGUUUGGCUCUCCGUCAUCUUCGUCUUCCGAAUCCUGGUGUUGGUGGUGGCUGCUGAGAGCGUUUGGGGAGACGAGAAGUCGGGCUUCACCUGCAACACCCAGCAGCCUGGCUGCAACAGCGUCUGCUACGACCAGUUCUUCCCCAUCUCGCACAUCCGCCUUUGGGCUCUGCAGCUGAUCCUGGUCUCCACCCCGGCCCUGCUGGUGGCCAUGCACGUAGCCCACAGACGGCACAUCGACAAGAAGAUCCUGAAGAGGGCCGGCCGGGGCACCCCCAAAGACCUGGAGCAGAUCAAGAACCAGAGGUUCCAGAUCACCGGAGCUCUGUGGUGGACGUACAUGAUCAGCAUCAUCUUCAGGAUCGUCUUUGAGGUGGCUUUUCUCUACAUCUUCUACCUGAUCUAUCCAGGUUUCAAAAUGGUGCGUUUGGUCAAGUGCGACUCGUACCCCUGCCCCAACACCGUGGACUGUUUUGUGUCCAGACCCACAGAGAAGACCAUAUUUACCGUGUUCAUGCUGGGGGUCUCGGGGGUGUGUGUGCUUCUGAACUUGGCUGAGAUGGUCUACCUCAUCGGCCGGGCCUGCAGGCAGUGCAUCAGAGGCUCGGAAGAAACCUCCAAAGUCCCCUGGAUCAGUCAAAAAUUGUCCUCUUACAGGCAAAAUGAGAUUAACGAACUGAUAUUGGACCAUCCCCUCAGGUCAAAGUUCGGCGUGACCAAAAAGAAGCCCAGCUGAGAAGGGCGGGAACUGUUCCUCUUUCUUUAACUAACCACUCACAGCUCCACGGUGGAGCAGACAAUGAGUUAAACAUUGUCUUCUUACACAUUCACGCAGUUUCUGUAAGAGAGUCAAUCGCUUUAUUCUGUCCAUUUAUACAUCGAUCCAUACAUCGAUCUGUACAUCUCUGGGUCAGGAUCAGCUCCAUCUGACAAACUGUAAUUGUCCUUUAACAGGACCUAAGGUUACUUUGCAUUUAAAAUGCUGGAUAUAGGUUGAAGUCCCCAAAUCUAACAGAUUGUCUUUAACUUCGGAGACGGAUGCAGCAGCAAUAAUGGGAAACUCCUUGAUUAACGUGGGCAUAACAUAUUGUAGAUCUUAUGCCUGAAUUUACAGUUUGUGACUUGGAUGAUGUUUAACUGCCAACGUGAGCGACGCUUCCUCGAGUUUGAUCUGACCUUUUUCUCAACGUUGACCUUCCUAACAGGAGCUCCCUGUUGUCUGCACCUCUUUUUAGCUUCUUUUUUUUAGAUUUUCUUGUGUACUAUAACGUUCAGCCACUCUCUCUCUCUCUCGUGGCUCAUGUGCUGGUUUCAUUUGGAGCUUAAAAAUACUGAUGUCCAAAUGUAUAGAGUGUAUGAGUUUACUCCCCGAUAAACAAUCCAGUUAAAAGCCUGUGUGAUAUGGGGUUGGAGAGGAGGGUGUACAAUAUGAAAUAUAAACCAAUAAACUCUCUGAUGCUUUGAACUUUCACUGACUUUUCUCCUCCUGACUCUGAUUUGUAGCUUGAGGUUGCAAAUGGCUACUCAUCUUCAAAUCAUGACACCCCCCAUCCAUGAUAGGAGAGACCUUCCUGCUAAAUUUAGCCCCCAGAAGCCCUUGUGACCAGCCAGACUGCAGCAUGUCAUUGGCCAG
rnacentral:lncRNA from 1 species